CAUUUUUCUUCUGUCUGAAGUAUAAUUUUUCAGAAGUUCUUUAGAGAAGAACUAUUGCUGUAGAGUUCCUCCCUCGUUUUGUUGAUCUGAACUGAAGUUGUUUUUCUCCAGAAAGGACUUGAAUUGGCUUCUGCCAGGAGCCCAGUUACUUCUUUGUGAAGUGAACUCUUUACAACGCAUUAUGCAUGGGAAGACAUCGAGUAGAAAAGCAAGCCUCCAAGCACAAGAUUUUUUUCACCUUGAAAAUGUUUGUAGUGAAGUU